CGGCCAGACUCCUACGGGAGGCAGCAGUGGGGAAUAUUGCACAAUGGGGGGAACCCUGAUGCAGCGACGCCGCGUGAGUGAAGAAGUAUUUCGGUAUGUAAAGCUCUAUCAGCAGGGAAGAAAAUGACGGUACCUGACUAAGAAGCCCCGGCUAACUACGUGCCAGCAGCCGCGGUAAUACGUAGGGGGCAAGCGUUAUCCGGAUUUACUGGGUGUAAAGGGAGCGCAGACGGCUGUGCAAGUCUGGAGUGAAAGGCGGGGGCCCAACCCCCGGACUGCUCUGGAAACUGUAAAGCUGGAGUGCAGGAGAGGUAAGCGGAAUUCCUAGUGUAGCGGUGAAAUGCGUAGAUAUUAGGAGGAACACCAGUGGCGAAGGCGGCCUGCUGGGCUUUAACUGACGCUGAGGCUCGAAAGCGUGGGGAGCAAACAGGAUUAGAUACCCCAGUAUA
rnacentral:rRNA from 1 species